GCGGGGUCCGUCAGACCGCCUCAUGCGGUGCGGGGUUAGCGGUGGCGUCGCCGGAGCGGGCGAGCGGCGGCGCGCGAAAUGGCCGCUCCGGCGGCGAGCGGAUCAGCAGAGGAAGCUCGGUGUGGAGAGCUCUAUCCUGCCUCCCUUCCUUAACAGCAGGUUGAAUGAGCAGGCUCACCUUUCGCAAGGAAUGAGAUAGUUCUGUCAAGUCUGAGCUGCUGAGCUUGGAUUGAGCAUGCAAGCAUAGAUUUUGCAGAAGACUUGCAGCCACAUAUUUGUAUCUGUCAUCUUGGAUCAUGGCAGUGAGCUCUCUAAUGAAUGAAUAUCCUGGUUCUUUCAACAUUGCUGAGCAAUUGUUGAUACUUUCCAUCGCUAGCAUGGCUAGUGCUUGACCAGCCGUUAUUUGUAGCGACCGGUCGGAAUUUGUGUUUGAUGGUGGAUGUUGUGCAAGAAAUGCCUGGAUCAACCUGCUAAUGAUCACUCGGGUUGAACCUAUCUCCUGACUUGUGUUUCCAUCAUCGGCAAGGUUUCUAAGGAUCUCUGCUGCCAGCUUCUUAUGUUCUUGGCUGCCUUCAAUGUCACCCAAGAUUUCUGCCAGGUUUCUCAACAGGAAGGGAUGAUCUGACAUCUUCUGCCGAAGUGUUAUACCAAUUUCCCCACCAGUGUUUGAGAGCUUUGUCAGCAACUUCAGUGAUGAACCUUUCAGUAUUUUUGGCUGCGUCUCGUUAGUGUACCCUAUAAUCUUCUGGAUGAGGUCUCUUGCUCUGCUGAUUUCCGCACAGUUGUCAGGAUCACAUUCUGCAAGUGUCUCUAGGAUUGACAUUCCCAGUACAGGAAGGAGAUCAUGCUCUAUGAAUGUCUUCUCCUUUGGAAUUUUUUUGUGCUUUGAAAUCAAUUGCCAGCAACCAAGCAUCCAGGAGUUCAGUCGGUUGUUGUUAUGAGGAUGAUCUUGGUCAAUAUGCUCUUGGCCAUCACCUGUGUCCACAAUCGUACCUUCUUUUCCCUCCUGGCUGUAAUAUGUGUAAAGUAGCGGAUUUCGUCGUCUCAAUUGGUUUUCGGUGUCCAGAAGUGAAGAUAUGUUCUGCAUUGACCCAGGGAUACCAAUAACUUGGAGGCUCCUUGAAAGCUCGACGAUGACCUUUGUGGCAAGCAAUCUGACUUGUGCAUCCUCUGGACUUGUCCAGCCCAACAUGGUGAUUAGUGUGUUCAAUGUCUCUGUGGAGGUGGUGAGUCUCAAGAGCAGAAGUGCCUUGGUGCGCUUUCUUUUCAGAAAGCUGUGCAGCAUUUGAAUCCCAUAGAGCUGGUUGCUGGGUGAGUUUGAGUUUGUGAAAUCCAUGGCGAAGCUGGUCAGUUCCAUGAUCCUUGGAGCAAGCGCACCUCCGGAAACACAUUGCUCGAAUAUGUACGAAUAGUACAUGUCAACACAUUUCCUUCCCCACUUCCGUCUGAACCUGCUUUGACGAACUAAGUGUAUCUUGGGGAUGAAUGAAAACAUCUCGAGAACACAUGCCACAAUAUAGAGUGCCCCUUGGGUAAGGACUAUUACAUAGAAGACGUCAAGAGAGAACUUGACAUUUUUCUUGGUAUCUCCUAAAGUACCGUCAGGAUAUGCAUGUUCUCUGGUGCAAUUCUUCGGAAUGCCGAUAUAGAUACCUGAUGUUCGCUGCGUCACUGCUGUCAAAAUACUUUGGACACAGAUGACCGUUGUUGGUUGUAUCAUUGCUAUCACAACACGUGCGACCGCUGCUGGUAUCUGCAAGUUGCCAAAUGACUCUAAUACCAAAGCAAAUAUCAGGAAGAAGGCCAUUGGUGCUACUAUAUAGGCAGAGUCCGAAAACAGGUAUCCCAAUAUUGCUAUUACAGCGCACAUGCACAAGAACAGAAUCACUGGAUGCAAGAAUGACAUCUUGUGGCCACAAGGACUAUUCACUAGUGAGGUUAUGCAUCGAAAUUGCAACUUGGUUAUUGUCACUAUGAUCACUGCCGUGAGGAGCAAUGCGAAAUAUUCCUUUAAUCUAGGCAAUCUGUCUGGAUGGGGUAUUGAUGUUUCCAGGAACAGACAGGGGACCAACAAUAGGAUUGCAGCCAGGGGACUCCAUAGUGAUACAGCUCUGAGUUGUGGGUCGCCGAACAGCUUAAGGAUCACUGGGCAUACAAGCUUGGCAACUACAAACAGGGACAUGGUCAUACCCAGGAUUAUAAACGGUGUUACCUUUACCGGACCUAGAUGAUAGACUGGAGUUGGGCUCCAUCGGAACUUUGCCAAUCUGAAAUUUGCAAAUCUGAACUUUGCCAUGACGAUUACCAUGGCCUCAGUCAUGCAUACAAUCAGAACCAAUCUGAUCAGGCGAGGACGCCUGAAAGCUCCCCUUGUCCUGAAGAAGAACUGGAGAGCCAGCAGCGUCGCGCAAUUGAACUCCCGUACGGUGAGCAUCGUCGAGAAGCCGCCGAGGAUGACGACUGUUGCCCAUGUGAACACCAGCGUGCCUAGGCCGUUGCCGGCCCUCUCUAUGAACGCGAUGAUGCGGACGAAGCGGUUCAGGUGCUUCUCCGGCGGCGCUGGCGCCGCCUUGCACCGUCGCCCAGUAGCUGCGGCGACGGCGGCUGGGCGCGCCAUCUUUCUUCAACGAUUUUUUUGCAGUUUGCCGCGCGGCGGCUAGCUCAACCUCCAUGCUUUUACAAUGAUAUAUAGAGCAAGGAUUACAGAGAGAGAGAGAGAGAUGGCGCGGUACGUAUCAACACACAGUUGACUGUACUUCACGAUCGGCUGCACGAUUGGUUCGUCGGGCCGCACGAAGGACGCGAGUACGCGACGCCGGAGAUGAGGAAGACGGUGGUCGUAGCCGCCGCUGCCGCCACCGCCGCCGGGGAGGCCGACGCGGCUACUGCGGCGCCACUUGGUCAAUCUGCUCAUCACACUUGGUCAUAGUGCCACGUGCAAAUUGCAGACUUUUGGUGUACUGAAAUGCAUUUGACUAGCUGUUCGCCAGGAGAUGAAAUUGAGCAACCUUUAGCUGAAAUAUAUGACUAGGAAAAAGACAACUAAUUAUGGAAAAUGAAUACAACGCAUCUGCGUAAUUAGGGUGCUUUGGAAAGUAAGUUUUAGUUUGGAACUUUUUUAUAUGUAAAACGAGAUAAGUUAUUAUAGUAUGAUUAAUUGAAUAUUAAUUUUUACAAACUUAAAAA